rnacentral:rRNA from 1 species
GCCUACGGGAGGCAGCAGUAGGGAAUUUUCGUCAAUGGGCGCAAGCCUGAACGAGCGAUGCCGCGUGAGUGAAGAAGGCCUUCGGAUCGUAAAACCCUGUUGUUAGAGAAGAAAGUGCGUGAGAGUAACUGUUCACGUUUCGACGGUAUCUAACCAGAAAGCCACGGCUAACUACGUGCCAGCAGCCGCGGUAAUACGUAGGUGGCAAGCGUUAUCCGGAUUUAUUGGGCGUAAAGGGAACGCAGGCGGUCUUUUAAGUCUGAUGUGAAAGCCUUCGGCUUAACCGGAGUAGUGCAUUGGAAACU